GUUACGUCGUGUUACGUCCAGCUAUGUCCAGCUUCCGAACUUAAGAGACCGAUGCAGGAAGCGGUGUGAAAAUCAUGAACAAAUGUGUUUUUUGUGUUGCUCUGUGUGCUUAUCGAUGACAGCGGGACUUUAACAGGGCCGAGACGAACCUCCGGGUGCAUUCACGCCACAGAAAUAACAUUUAACGACGUAUAACUUUAAUUCACUAGGAAAAGAAACUAAAGUGGAAGAAGCAACGGAGUGCAACAUGGCGGACAGGAACAGAUGAUACUAUAGGAACAAACACAACAGAAAGUGCACAGAUUAACGCGCAGCCGGUGGAGGACAUCGGUGCAGCGUCAGUGCAUGGGUCUCCGGGCGGCCCCAGGACUGAAGUCCCGCUGACAGCCCCAUGGCCUCACCUCAAACCCGGCUAAACCAGCGGGCCUUGACGGCGCUGGACGUGGCUCUGCGGGUGCCCUGUAUCUUCAUCAUCGACGCCAUCCUAAAUUCAUACUCUGAGAUCGGUUCGGGAUGGGCCGGUACCGCCGGAAGGUUAUCGGUUCGGGCUGUGGGUGUGCUGGUGUCCCUGGUGGUCCUGCUCCUCUCUCAGAAGGCCCUGUUCAGAUUCUAUUCUCUGUUUCUGGGCAUCCUUCUGGCCUUCACCUCCGUCCUGGUGAACUACUACGCAGCGUCUCACUCUGACUUCCACGGAGCACUCCACAGUUCGGCCUCUGCUCUCUGGCUGCUGCCUAGAGCUGGCACAGCGGUAUGGUUAGCCCUGGCCGCGGUGCAGUUAGCGUUCGGUAUCGGGUUUAUCUAUCUGCUCAGGGUUCACUCUCUGUUAGCGGCAUUGGUGGUUCUGGACGUGGUGAUGCCUCUUUGGGCACUGAUGUUGGAGCUCCCUGUGGACGUUCGCCAGCUCGUUGCUGUCUUCUCGGGUUUGGCCCUUGCUCUGACCACACUCUUCUGUCUCGCCGUCAGACUCCGGUGGUUCUACUACUCCUGUAGGUAUGUGUAUCUGCUGGUGCGGCACAUGUACCGGAUCUACGGACUGCAGCUGCUCUUGGAGGACACCUGGAAGAGGAUCCGAUUCCCUGACAUCCUCCGUGUUUUCUGGCUCACCCGCGUCACCGCCCAGGCCCUGCUCCUGGUCUACAUGAUCCGAGUGGUGAGCAGGGAGGGCCAUGAACCAGCAGGGAGUGCUACAGACACCACAGCACACACACAGGCCAGCAUCCUGAGUUGGGAGGGGGUUGGUGAGCUCCUGUCCAAUCUGAUUAUCUCUGGCUGCGAUUCGACACUCACAGUUUUGGGGAUGAGCGCCGUCAUCUCAUCCGUCGCACACUACCUCGGCCUCAGCAUCCUCGCCUUCAUCGGCUCCACUGAGGAGGAGGACAAGCGUCUGGGGUUUGUGGCUCCAGUUCUAUUCUUCAUCCUGGCACUUCAGACCGGACUCAGCAGCCUGGACCCUGAAGAGAGACUGGUGCGUCUAAGCAGAAACAUGUGCCUGCUGCUGACAGCGAUCCUUCAUUUUGUGCACGGCAUGGCAGACCCAGUGCUGAUGUCCCUGAGUGCCUCUCACGUCUCGUCUCUGCGCCGGCACCUGCCUGUGCUACUGGUGUCCACCACGUUGCUUGUUCUACCUGUGCUCCUCUCCCUGUUGCUAUGGAAACAUUAUGCCCUCAACACCUGGCUCUUUGCAGUGACUGCAUUCUGUGUGGAGCUCUGCCUCAAGGUGCUGGUCUCCCUGACAGUGUAUGGGCUCUUCAUGGCGGACGGACUCUCGGUGACACUGUGGGAGAAGCUGGAUGAUUACGUCUACUAUGUGCGCUCCACAGGAAACAUCAUCGAGUUCCUGUUUGGUGUUGUCAUGUUCGGAAAUGGUGCGUACACCAUGAUGUUCGAGUCCGGCAGCAAGAUCCGCGCCUGCAUGAUGUGUCUGCACGCCUACUUCAACAUCUACCUGCAGGCCAAGAACGGAUGGAGGACCUUCAUCAACCGCCGCAGCGCCGUUAAGAAGAUCAACUCUCUACCUGAGCUCAAGGGGGUGCAGCUACACAACAUCGGUGACGUGUGUGCUAUCUGCUACCAGGAGUUUAGUGCGUCUGCCCGAAUUACGCCGUGUAAUCACUACUUCCAUGCGCUCUGUUUGCGCAAGUGGCUCUACAUUCAAGACACCUGCCCCAUGUGCCAUCAGAGAGUCUACAUUGAAGACGGCACCGACCGCCCUGCGUUUAUGAAUAAUAAUGGUGCCGUGGUGUACGAGGAUGCGGAGAGAGAACGGGAGGAGGGAGGAGAGGAGGAGCAUGCAGAGGAGAGGAGAGAGGGAGCGGCUGAGGAAGACAGAGGAGAGAUAAACGAUAAUGACAGUAUUGAGUACGAUUCGGACGAGUGGGGAACGCAGAACACAGCAGCACCACCAGAGGAAGAGUAUAUGGACCAGGACUCAGACUCAGACCAGAACUGAGCCGAACUGGGUCUGAACUGGGUCUGAACCAGGACUAAACCAGGUCUACUGCCUCUGCUUUCCUCACAAGCUAAACCCAUACAGUUCAGAGGGUUAAGUUCAUGGUGAAAACAAUCGGGGGACUGAACCAGGACUGAAUCAGGUCUUCUGCCUCUGCUUUCCUCACAACAUAAACCCCAUGUAGUUCAGAUUGUUAAGGUUAUGGGGAAAAGAAGCAGGACUGGCCCUGGGACUGAACCAGGCACUGAACCAGGCACUGAACCAGGCACUGAACCAGGCACUGAACCAGGCACUGAACCAGGCACUGAACCAGGCACUGAACCAGGCACUGAACCAGGCACUACACCGGGAACUACACCGGGAACUACACCGGGAACUACACCGGGAACUACACCGGGAACUACACCGGGAACUACACCAGGAACUACACCGGGAACUACACCAGGAACUACACCAGGAAUUAAACCAGGGUGGUGGGUGGUGUAAUGCAGGCUUUUGUCAUGUCUUGGUCCUCUUUUAAAUGAGACCAGGUCUUAAAGGCCUCUGAACCAUCCCAAACUAUAGGUCCUUUGACAGAAUUUAUAAACCACAUGUACCCUCUUUAAUUUUUCCUAUUUCCACCAAAACGGGAUUGGCUGUUAACACAUGAUUUAGGCCUAGGAUUGGUCCAGGUUUAGUCCCAAUUUAGUCCUGGUUUAGAUCUGUUCAAGUUCUGGUUUAAGGCUCUUUUUUGCCUGGGUUUUGGUUCAGGUUUAAUCUUGACUUAAUCCUGGUUUAGAACUGCUGUAGUCUCAGUCUAUUUUGGGCUGGUUUAGUCCCGGUUUAGUCCUUUGUGGUGGUCGGUUACUGUUGAGCUCCAUUGUUUUCUACAAAUAAAAUUUUCCAUUCAUUUUACCAUAUACUUUCUGGGACAAAAAUAAUAGUAUUUAAAGUUUGAGAGCUUAUUGUGGUCUAAUUGACUACUUUUAUUUACAUCUGUUUCAGAAAGUUUAUAAACCACUAAGUUAUUAAAACAUUUAGCUAAAUUUUAAGUGUUUUAUGGGCGUUAGUUACCACACAGCUGGUUAACCUCCAUUGUGCCUUCGAACUUUUAAAGGGCCUGUACCUGAUUUUUUUUCCCCAUGUAUUUGAGCAAAAUGUGUCUUGCUCCAGAUAUUUUGACCUCAAGAGCUGCUUAUAAUUAGAUGCAAACAGUGCUAGCGGAUUAAUGUUGUAUAAAGUGUUUUAUUAUCCGAUAAUCAGGAAGUGUGUGUGAGCAUGCUAGUUGUUGUUAGCAUUAUCGUGACAACAAAACUCUGCAUUGGUCUGAGAGUUGUGAAAAGUGCUUAUAAACUCAUCGCAGUGAAUAAUUGAGAUGUUCUGAACGCAUAAGGUAAGUGAGGAAUAAGUUUGGAUACAGACUGUUUAAAAUGAACUAGUUCUGUUUCUCACAUUUUGAAGACUAAAAAAAAAAAACAGGUACAGCACCUUUAAUAUUUGAUUUAGUCUAUGGGAGGGAGAUUUACUUUAAAAAAAAUGUUUUAGUUUUUAUCUAUGUCAUAACCGCUUUCAAUCCCACCUCGGAUUUUGCAGGAAGCUCAAUUCUGAAGAGGAAAAAAACUUUAUGAAAUGGAUGAAUAUUUAAACAUCCGGAAUUAAAGGGCUUCGUGGAGUUGCUGCUUGAAUGAACGAGUGAAUGUUUGAAGCUACAACCAAAACUGCUGCAGAACCAGACUUUACACAGACUUUUGGAUCAGGAAAAUAAACUGCAAAAUGCUGUUAAUCAAGGUUUAUUUUGGGAAUAAAGACAACACUGGAAAUA